rnacentral:misc_RNA from 1 species
GAUGAAGAACGCAGCGAAAUGCGAUACUUGGUGUGAAUUGCAGAAUCCCGUGAACCAUCGAGUCUUUGAACGCAAGUUGCGCCCGAAGCCACUAGGCCGAGGGCACGCCUGCCUGGGCGUCAAACGCCGUUGCCCCCCCAUCUACUCCUUCGGGAUUGCGGGGGGGCGGAUGAUGGCCUCCCGUGCGCCUAGCCGCGCGGUUGGCAUAAAUACCAAGUCCUCGGCGACGCACGCCACGACAAUCGGUGGUUGCGAAACCUCGGUUGCCCGUCGUGUGCGUUCGUCGCGCAUCGAGGGCUCGAAAAAAUGCUCGGCUCCGGCUGGGCUUUCAACGCGACCCCAGGUCAGGCGGGGUUACCCGCUGAAUUUAAGCAUAUCAAUAAGCGGAGGA